rnacentral:rRNA from 1 species
CGAACGCUGGCGGCGUGCUUAACACAUGCAAGUCGAACGGCAAGGCCCCUUUGGGGGUACUCGAGUGGCGAACGGGUGAGUAACACGUGAGUAACCUGCCCUUGACUUCGGGAUAACUUCAGGAAACUGGGGCUAAUACCGGAUAGGAAUCCUUGCUGCAUGGUGGGGGUUGGAAAGCUUCGGCGGUUUUGGAUGGACUCGCGGCUUAUCAGCUUGUUGGUGGGGUAGUGGCUUACCAAGGCUUUGACGGGUAGCCGGCCUGAGAGGGCGACCGGCCACAUUGGGACUGAGAUACGGCCCAGACUCCUACGGGAGGCAGCAGUGGGGAAUAUUGCACAAUGGGCGGAAGCCUGAUGCAGCAACGCCGCGUGCGGGAUGACGGCCUUCGGGCUGUAAACCGCUUUCAGCAGGGGCGAAGCUUGUGGUGACGGUACCUGCAGAAGAAGCACCGGCUAACUACGUG